UACACGUGAGGGGGCGUGUGAGUAUAUAUCCGUUAAUGUGUAUUCAACUAUCAGCUUUUAAGGUUUUAGUUGAGAUGGAGCACAUGCUUCAAUUUUUACAAGUUUAUAU